UCGAACGGCUUCUCUCCCUUUUAGCUUGUUGAGCAAGCCUCUGUCGAUCUUCAUCUUCGUAUAAAGUUCCUUCGUCUCUCUCCGUCAAUCGAGCGCCCACGCCGUGACACCAACGAAGCAACUGCUCUUGUUUUCUUUCCAUCUAUUUCUGCGACUGAAAACCUCUGCCGCACGACUUCCUUCACGCCUGCAGCCACGCACGUCUCCACUAUCAUUUCAUCCUCAUCACCCAUCCAUCUCCACCACCAUAUCAUCACCAUCUAUCAUCAUCCCAUCUUCCACCAUCACCCCACGUCCGUAGCCCAUGCCUCAAGUCAACCAUUGAAGCUUUAGUUGACUGAAGCAGCCCCAAAAUUCCACGAAGCAAGUCCACCGAAGAAACCCCCAUGCGUUUGCUUCUUUUCCUUCGGCUGCCAGCACGUUCGCAAGAUUUUCCCAGGCGGUGACCGAAGCUCCCACGUUUCCUCGUGGCAUCAACGCCCUUGCUUCCUCGUCUUCAGCAAUUUGGAGACCACCGAGUCUUCCAGCAGCCGCGCACGAAGCAACCGAAGACUCACGCCACCACCGAAGCUUUCUGCUAUGUUUCACUGCUUCUAUCUCCGUUCGGUCUUGUGAAGUCAAGCGAAGCAGCCGCGCCAGCGAAGACUCCAUCUUCGCCCACCGAAGCUGCUCCUUCACGCGUCCACGCCAGCUGCUUCCCUGUUCCAUCUUCGGCCACAUGCCUGCUCUCCACCAAUGUUGAUCUUUUCUCCUCAAGCCACCGAAACCCGCUCGAAGCCAGCAACAAAUUCGGCCCAGCUUGUUCAAUCACAGCAAGCCCAGUCCGUGAGCAAGCAUUUUUGCUCAGUCCAGCCCAGCGUUGGCCUCAGAUUUCAAGCCUUUCAGCCCAGUUCGGCCUUCUCUUCAGCAGUUCAGCCCAAGAUGGUUUAGUUCAAGUUACAGCCCAGUAAUUUGAGGCCCAAUUCAGCAUCCCAAUCUUGAAGCCCAAGCCCGUGAAGAAAGCCCAUUUGUAGUCAAGCCCAAGCCCAAGAGCGAACCCGGUCCGAAGUAGGAACAAAUCUCAGUUGAGUUGAGAUUUGUUGGGCCAAGCUUAAGGCUCGGUCCAAGCCCGCCGGUGUUGUCGAAAGCCCGAUUUCGGCCGCCGUCGCGUUGCCGUCGCGGUGAUUCGGUCUCCGCUUUUUCCAAGACCCUGAUGAGGAGCCUGAUGAGAAGGAACCUGAAGAGGAGAACCCUGAUGUGGAACCAAAUGAGGAGGAACAUUUUGGAGAAGAAGAUGACCACGGGGAGGAUCCUGAGUACGACCCGGAUGAGAACUGAGAUCCCAUCUUGUUUUGUCAGACCUUGAUAAUAUGUGGAGAAGUGUUUGAUCGGACCCUGUGAAUAGUAUUACAUUAUAUAUUAUGAGGUACUUUGUGUAAAAAAGUGGUUGUGAAUUUCAGUAUGGAAAUUAUGGCCCUACUAUUCUAUC